rnacentral:rRNA from 1 species
CGAACGGGUGAGUAAUGCGUGACCAACCUGCCCCAUGCUCCAGAAUAGCUCUUGGAAACGGGUGGUAAUGCUGGAUGCUCCAACUUAACGCAUGUCUUGUUGGGAAAGUGUUUAGUGGCAUGGGAUGGGGUCGCGUCCUAUCAGCUUGUAGGCGGGGUAAUGGCCCACCUAGGCUUCGACGGGUAGCCGGCCUGAGAGGGCGGACGGCCACAUUGGGACUGAGAUACGGCCCAGACUCCUACGGGAGGCAGCAGGC